rnacentral:rRNA from 1 species
UACGGAGGAUGCAAGCGUUAUCCGGAAUUAUUGGGCGUAAAGCGCACGCAAGCGGUUCGACAAGUCUGACGUGAAAUCUCCUGGCUUAACUGGGAGCGGUCGUUGGAAACUGUCGAGCUUGAGGCGAUGAGAGGGGUGCAGAAUUCCCGGUGUAGUGGUGGAAUGCGUAGAGAUCGGGGGGGAAUACCUGUGGCGAAAGCGGCACCCUGGCGUCGUUCUGACGCUCAUGGUGCGAAAGCGUGGGGAGCGAACGGG